CGAAUCUCUUUCUGUGGUCUGAAUAUGUGUAAGAAAGAUCAAAUAGACAAUCACUUCUUUAGUUGGUGUUGAAUAGUGCAAGGGAGUAGUGCACGUGCUCGUGGGAAUAGUGCUUGGUAUAAAGUUGUUUUUUUCUCUGGUGUCUUUUUUUUGGGUGCUCGUGCGUACAUUUUUGUCGGUGUUUGGCGUUUUGUAGUUUUUUUCACAAUGGCUGAGGAAUAUAAUUUAAAAUCACUCGGUAAGGCGUUAAAAAAUAAAAUUUAUAUUAAACAUAUAUCUUUCUUUACCAGCCCUCCCUUAAAUAUACAUACAAUUUGUAAUGGAAAUACAUAUUUUAGAAAUAUGCGGUAUUAAUAAAUAAAUAAUAAAUAAACUUGUAAAAAUUA